GUUUGCUAUGUCACGGGCUAGCGCUGGGUCUGUCUGGUCCGGGGGGGGAUUCUCCACAGGAGAUCGGUAGGGGUGUAGACAUGAGAGUUCCAACCUCAAUGACGGGUGAAGUGUCUCAUAGUCAUGGGCAGCCCAGCACAUUUCAUCUAUUGUCUCCAUAGCCUUAACUUUCUCCAGUACUAUUGCUGCAAUCUUCGUUGAAUUUCGUGUUUCCCCCAAUAUGUUGUUACACCAUUUCGCAAUCGUCUUUUGUAGUUGAUACGUCGGGGCCUGUCUUUUCUCCAGAUGAAAUGUGCUGGGCUGCUUGUGACUGUGAGGCACUUUGCCCGUCAUUGAGGUUGGAACUCGUAUGUCUGCACUUUUGCCGAUUUCUUGUGGAGGGUCUUCCUUCGGACCGGACGGAUCCGGCGCUGGUUUGUGACAUGGUGAACCUUAUAUGCUACAACUCAUGCUUUGGAUUUGAAAAUGGAGUUUAUAAGCAGAUGAGAGAC
rnacentral:lncRNA from 1 species